CCUACGGGGGGCAGCAGUCGAGAAUCAUUCACAAUGGGGGAAACCCUGAUGGUGCGACGCCGCGUGGGGGAAUGAAGGUCUUCGGAUUGUAAACCCAUGUCAUGUGGGAGCAAAUUAAAAAGAUAGUACCACAAGAGGAAGAGACAGCUAACUCUGUGCCAGUAGCCGCGGUAAUACAGAGGUCUCAAGCGUUGUUCGGAAUCACUGGGCGUAAAGCGUGCGUAGGCUGUUUCGUACGUCGUGUGUGAAAGGCGCGAGCUAAACCCGCGGACGGCACACGAAUCUGCGAGAAUAGAGUAAUAGAGGGGGAACCGGAAUUCUCGGUGUAGCAGUGAAAGGCGUAGAUAGCGAGAGGAACACUAGUGGCGAAGGCGGGUGCCUGGACAUUAGCAGACGCUGAGGCACGAAGGCCAGGGGAGCGAAAGGGAUUAGAUACCCGGGUAGUC
rnacentral:rRNA from 1 species